AAUGAACGUUGGCGGCGUGGAUUAGGCAUGCAAGUCGUACGGGUCGGUGUAGCAAUACAACGGCAAGUGGCGAAAGGGAGAGUAACACGUAGAUACCUACCCUCUGGUCGGGGAUACCGCGGCAUAACCGCAAGUAAUACCCGAUAAAAUCCCCGGAUCAAAGGUGUGAUUCCGCCGGAGGAGGGGUCUGCGUUCUAUCAGCUUGUUGGUGAGGUAAUGGCUCACCAAGGCUAAGACGGAUACGGGGUGUGAGAGCAUGCCCCCGCUCACUGGGACUGAGACACUGCCCAGACACCUACGGGUGGCUGCAGUCGAGAAUCUUCGGCAAUGGGCGCAAGCCUGACCGAGCGACGCCGCGUGCGGGAUGAAGGCCUUCGGGUUGUAAACCGCUGUCGAGGGGAAUGAAGUGUAGGUGGGUACUCCCAUCUAUUUGACAGAUCCCUGGAGGAAGCAUGGGCUAAGUUCGUGCCAGCAGCCGCCGUAAGAC
rnacentral:rRNA from 1 species